CCCUUAGAUGUUCUGGGCUGCACGCGCGCUACACUGAAGCUAUCAACACGUUUUCCCUCCCUGAGAAGGGCGGGUAACCUUUUGAAUCAGCUUCGUGGUAGGGAUCGGGGCUUGCAAUUGUUCCCCGUGAACCAGGAAUUCCUAGUAGACGCGAGUCAUAAGCUCGCAUCGAUUAAGUCCCUGCCCUUUGUACACACCGCCCGUCGCUACUACCGAUGGAACGUUUUAGUGAGGCAUUUGGACCGACGCAUCUCAGUUUAACCGCUGGUUUGUGUUGGAAAGACUUCCAAACUUGAGCGUUUAGAGGAAGUAAAAGUCGUAACA
rnacentral:rRNA from 1 species